CCAAAAACGGAGGAAAAGAAACCAACCGGGAUUGCCUUAGUAACGGCGAGUGAAGCGGCAAAAGCUCAAAUUUGAAAUCUGGUACCUUCGGUGCCCGAGUUGUAAUUUGGAGAGGGCAACUUUGGGGCCGUUCCUUGUCUAUGUUCCUUGGAACAGGACGUCAUAGAGGGUGAGAAUCCCGUGUGGCGAGGAGUGCGGUUCUUUGUAAAGUGCCUUCGAAGAGUCGAGUUGUUUGGGAAUGCAGCUCUAAGUGGGUGGUAAAUUCCAUCUAAAGCUAAAUAUUGGCGAGAGACCGAUAGCGAACAAGUACAGUGAUGGAAAGAUGAAAAGAACUUUGAAAAGAGAGUGAAAAAGUACGUGAAAUUGUUGAAAGGGAAGGGCAUUUGAUCAGACAUGGUGUUUUGUGCCCUCUGCUCCUUGUGGGUAGGGGAAUCUCGCAUUUCACUGGGCCAGCAUCAGUUUUGGUGGCAGGAUAAAUCCAUAGGAAUGUAGCUUGCCUCGGUAAGUAUUAUAGCCUGUGGGAAUACUGCCAGCUGGGACUGAGGACUGCGACGUAAGUCAAGGAUGCUGGCAUAAUGGUUAUAUGCCGCCCGUCUUAA
rnacentral:rRNA from 1 species